GAGUGGCUUGCAUUGCUUUAACUCUUGUUUUGCUGUCUUGAACACUGACGAGAUACCUAGAGCUGUGGCAAUCAUGUUGUAGGCAAGAGGUUACAAAUAUGCCAGUGAUGGAAGAUUGGAAAGAUCUGGAGAGCCAACGGCACUGGUGAUGUUGUUGAGCUGCUGAACCAGCCCUUAGCCUCUGGACCUCUGGACUUUCUGUUAUAUAUGCUCAGAAAUGACUGAGGAGGAAAACGUUUAUGCAGAGGCGAAAUCUCAGGAUGACAAAAAGAAGAAAACACAGCCUAGAAUUAUAGACGGAAAAUAUGAUCGUGACUAACACACCUCCAAGAACAGAAAUUAUGCCCAAACACCUAUCUGGGUGCAUUUGAGAUCUAUAAGGAGGCCAGUGUGAGCAGAGACCAUGAGUAAUGGGCAAGAGUGACACAAGAUGAAGAUGGAGAAGUAGUUGGAGGUCCGAUGAUCAGGUAGGUUUGGAUUUUUAUAUUAAGUGCAAAGUGAGGUCAUUGAAAAGUUUAAAUGGAGAGGACAAAGGGCAAACAUUGAAUUUUAAUUAUGAGGACAGCCUGGCUGCAGUGUGGAGGAUGUAUUAGAUGAGAGAAAGUGAAAACAAUUUGAAGUUUCAUUGUUUUAGAAUGUUUUAGUGGUUUACGAACCAAGUGGUGCAAGAAAAGUAGGGAAGGACAACUUGAUGCCUUAAAUUAAAAAAAAAAAAAAAAAUAGAAAGUCCAUGACUAUAAAGUGUCCUCUCUCUCAUGUCUCCUGCUGCAAAAAAAGUGGCCACAUAGCAGUCACAGCACUUCUGUCCAUUCACAGCUUAUGCACCUUAGUACCCAGAUUUUUGAUACUAAUGUUAUAAGCCUCUCAAAAGAACCAGGGAUCCUUGGAGUUUAGCUGAUUUCACGUCUUGAAGAGAGAAAAAUUAAGGUUGGACCUGGAGUAUCUUACUAUUAUCAGCAAAUAAGGAAACCUGCAAGACAAAAGAAAUAGGAGUUUGAAGGGACUCCUUUUGGCCAAGUGGUACUAUGAACAUUAAUAGUAAUAAUAAUUAAUUGAAAUAAAUUACUUUUUACAAGUCCAUGUGUUCAAAAUGAUAAUUAAGUGAGAAAAGCUUAUAGACACAGGUAGUUGUAAUUUGAAUAGAGGAAUAUAUUAAAAACAUGUGUUUCAAUAAGUAAGGCUGUGUUAUCUAAGUAAUUUUCUCUUAUUUCUCAAAAUGUGUGUUUAUAAAGCAUAAAGAGGUAUUUGUCCUAUCUUUAAGUAAAGAACGGGAAAUAAUGGGAAUUGUAGGUAAGUCAAAUGGUCCAGAAAAAAGCAGAACCAAAAAUAGUAUGAUCAUACACAAUGAGAAAGUAGAAAGGGGAAAAGGAAGUUCAAUACUGUGUUUUAAAAUGACGAGUUAACUAAAUGUUCUAAAAAGAGAGCUGAUUGCAUGAUUUUGGUUUCUCUUUCUCAGGAGAUAGAAUUUCCAAAUGACCCUAAAAAUUAAAAUAAUACAAAAAAUUGUACA